rnacentral:rRNA from 1 species
GCAUGUGGCCAUAUUGGCUUCUCAAUGCCUGAUCCUAUUAGAUCUCAGAAGCUAAGCUAGGUUGGUCUUGAUUAGUACUUGGAUCGAAGGCCGCUGGAAAUAACAGGUGCCACAGCG